AACGAACGCUGGCGGCAUGCCUAACACAUGCAAGUCGAACGAGACCUUCGGGUCUAGUGGCGCACGGGUGCGUAACGCGUGGGAACCUGCCCUUAGGUUCGGAAUAACUCCCCGAAAGGGGUGCUAAUACCGGAUAAUGUCUUCGGACCAAAGAUUUAUCGCCUUUGGAUGGGCCCGCGUUGGAUUAGCUAGUUGGUAGGGUAAAAGCCUACCAAGGCGACGAUCCAUAGCUGGUCUGAGAGGAUGAUCAGCCACACUGGGACUGAGACACGGCCCAGACUCCUACGGGGGGCGGCAGUGGGGAAUUUUGGAAAAGGGGCGAAAGCCUGACCCAGCAAUGCCGGGUGGGUGAUGAAGGCCUUAGGGUUGUAAAGCUCUUUUCCCUGGGAUAAAAAUGACGGUACCGGGAAAAAAAGCCCCGGCUACCUCCGU
rnacentral:rRNA from 1 species